rnacentral:rRNA from 1 species
UACGAAGGGUGCAAACGUUGCUCGGAAUUAUUGGGCGUAAAGCGCACGUAGGCGGCUUAGCAAGUCGGAUGUGAAAUCCCUCGGCUCAACCAAGGAAGUGCAUCCGAAACUGCAGAGCUUGAGUACUUAAGAGGAUCGCGGAAUUCCCGGUGUAGAGGUGAAAUUCGUAGAUAUCGGGAGGAACACCAGUGGCGAAGGCGGGUUGCUGGGCUGACACUGACGCUGAUGCGCGAAAGCCAGGGGAGCGAACGGG